rnacentral:rRNA from 1 species
AGCCAUAGCCAUAUCAACCCUGCAUCCCAAGACUGUUUGCCCACUGAAGCUAAGCAGGGUUAAGCCUGGUCAGUACCUGGAUGGGAGACCUCCUGGGAAAACUAGGUUGCUGUUGGAA